AGUUAGUGGCAGGCAGGCAGGCAGGCAGGCAGCAGGCAGCAGGCAGGCAGGCAGGCAGGCAGGCAGGCAGGCAGGCAGGCAGGCAGGCAGGCAGUGGUAUAUCUGAUAAUACAGGUAUGAUGACAGACAGUGGUAUAUCUGAUAAUACAGGAAUGACAGACAGACAGACAGACAGACAGACAGACAGACAGACAGACAGACAGACAGACAGACAGACAGUGGUAUAUCUGAUAAUACAGGUAUAAUGACAGACAGUGGUAUAUCUGAUAAUACAGGUAAAAUGACAGACAGACAGUGGUAUAUCUGAUAAUAAAGGUAUAAUGACAGACAGACAGUUAGUGUUAUAUCUGAUACUACAGGUAUAAUGACAGACAGUUAGUGGUAUAUCUGAUAAUACGGGUAUAAUGACAGACAGACAGACAGUGGUAUAUAUGAUAAUACAGGUAUAAUGACAGACAGACAGACAGUGGUAUAUCUGAUAAUACAGGUAUAAUGACAGACAGUUAGUGGUAUAUCUGAUAAUACAGGUAUAAUGACAGACAGACAGUUAGUGUUAUAUCUGAUACUACAGGUAUAAUGACAGACAGUUAGUGGUAUAUCUGAUAAUACGGGUAUAAUGACAAACAGACAGACAGUGGUAUAUAUGAUAAUACAGGUAUAAUGACAGACAGACAGACAGUGGUAUAUCUGAUAAUACAGCUAUAAUGACAGACAGACAGACAGACAGACAGACAGACAGACAGUGGUAUAUAUGAUAAUACAGGUAUAAUGACAGACAGACAGUGGUAUAUCUGAUAAUACAGCUAUAAUGACAGACAGACAGACAGACAGACAGACAGACAGACAGACAGACAGACAGACAGACAGACAGACAGUGGUAUAUAUGAUAAUACAGGUAUAAUGACAGACAGACAGACAGACAGACAGACAGACAGGCAGACAGUGGUAUAUCUGAUAAUACAGGUAUAAUGACAGACAGGCAGUGGUAUAUCUUAUAAUACAGGUAUAAUGACAGACAGACAGACAGUGGUAUAUAUGAUAAUAAAGGUAUAAUGACAGACAGACAGACAGUGGUAUAUCUGAUAAUACAGGUAUAAUGACAGACAGGCAGUGGUAUAUCUUAUAAUACAGGUAUAAUGACAGACAGACAGACAGUGGUAUAUAUGAUAAUAAAGGUAUAAUGACAGACAGACAGACAGACAGUGGUAUAUAUGAUAAUACAGGUAUAAUGACAGACAGUGGUAUAUCUGAUAAUAAAGGUAUUAUGACAGACAGACAGACAGUGGUAUAUAUGAUAAUACAGGUAUAAUGACAGACAGACAGCCAGACAGUGGUAUAUCUGAUAAUACAGGUAUAAUGACAGACAGGCAGUGGUAUAUCUUAUAAUACAGGUAUAAUGACAGACAGACAGACAGUGGUAUAUAUGAUAAUAAAGGUAUAAUGACAGACAGACAGACAGUGGUAUAUCUGAUAAUACAGGUAAAAUGACAGACAGACAGUGGUAUAUCUGAUAAUAAAGGUAUAAUGACAGACAGACAGUUAGUGUUAUAUCUGAUACUACAGGUAUAAUGACAGACAGGCAGUGGUAUAUCUUAUAAUACAGGUAUAAUGACAGACAGACAGACAGUGGUAUAUAUGAUAAUACAGGUAUAAUGACAGACAGGCAGUGGUAUAUCUUAUAAUACAGGUAUAAUGACAGACAGACAGACAGUGGUAUAUAUGAUAAUAAAGGUAUAAUGACAGACAGACAGACAGUGGUAUAUCUGAUAAUACAGGUAAAAUGACAGACAGACAGUGGUAUAUCUGAUAAUAAAGGUAUAAUGACAGACAGACAGUUAGUGUUAUAUCUGAUACUACAGGUAUAAUGACAGACAGUUAGUGGUAUAUCUGAUAAUACGGGUAUAAUGACAAACAGACAGACAGUGGUAUAUCUGAUAAUACAGGUAUAAUGACAGACAGACAGACAGACAGACAGACAGACAGACAGACAGACAGACAGUGGUAUAUCUGAUAAUACAGGUAUAAUGACAGACAGGCAGUGGUAUAUCUUAUAAUACAGGUAUAAUGACAGACAGACAGACAGUGGUAUAUCUGAUAAUACAGCUAUAAUGACAGACAGACAGUGGUAUAUCCGAUAAUACAGGUAUAAUGACAGACAGACAGACAGACAGACAGUGGUAUAUCUGAUAAUACAGGUAUAAUGACAGACAGACAGACAGACAGUGGUAUAUAUGAUAAUAAAGGUAUAGUGACAGACAGACAGUUAGUGUUAUAUCUGAUAAUACAGGUAUAAUGACAGACAGACAGUGGUAUAUCUGAUAAUACAGGUAUAAUGACAGACAGACAGACAGUGGUAUAUCUGAUAAUACAGGUAUAAUGACAGACAGACAGACAGUGGUAUAUAUGAUAAUAAAGGUAUAAUGACAGACAGACAGUUAGUGUUAUAUCUGAUAAUACAGGUAUAAUGACAGACAGACAGUGGUAUAUCUGAUAAUACAGGUAUAAUGACAGACAGACAGACAGACAGUGGUAUAUCUGAUAAUACAGGUAUAAUGACAGACAGAGACAGUGGUAUAUAUGAUAAUAAAGGUAUAAUGACAGACAUGCAGUUAGUGUUAUAUCUGAUAAUACAGGUAUAAUGACAGACAGACAGUGGUAUAUCUGAUAAUACAGGUAUAAUGACAGACAGACAGACAGUGGUAUAUAUGAUAAUAAAGGUAUAAUGACAGACAGACAGUUAGUGUUAUAUCUGAUAAUACAGGUAUAAUGACAGACAGACAGUGGUAUAUCUGAUAAUACAGGUAUAAUGACAGACAGACAGUGGUAUAUCUGAUAAUACAGGUAAAAUGACAGACAGACAGACAGACAGUGGUAUAUCUGAUAAUAAAGGUAUAAUGACAGACAGACAGACAGUGGUAUAUCUGAUAAUACAGGUAUAAUGACAGACAGGCAGUGGUAUAUCUGAUAAUACAGGUAUAAUGACAAACAGACAGUUAGUGGUAUAUCUGAUAAUACAGGUAAAAUGGCAGACAGACAGACAGUGGUAUAUCUGAUAAUAAAGGUAUAAUGACAGACAGACAGUGGUAUAUAUGAUAAUAAAGGUAUAAUGACAGACAGAAAGUUAGUGUUAUAUCUGAUAAUACAGGUAUAAUGACAGACAGACAGUGGUAUAUCUGAUAAUACAGGUAUAAUGACAGACAGACAGUGGUAUAUCUGAUAAUACAGGUAUAAUGACAGACAGACAGUGGUAUAUCUGAUAAUAAAGGUAUAAUGACAGACAGACAGACAGUGGUAUAUCUGAUAAUACAGGUAAAAUGGCAGACAGACAGACAGUGGUAUAUCUGAUAAUAAAGGUAUAAUGACAGACAGACAGUGGUAUAUCUGAUAAUACAGGUAUAAUGACAGACAGAC